GCGUGCCUAAUACAUGCAAGUCGAACGCUUCUUUCCUCCCGAGUGCUUGCACUCAAUUGGAAAGAGGAGUGGCGGACGGGUGAGUAACACGUGGGUAACCUACCCAUCAGAGGGGGAUAACACUUGGAAACAGGUGCUAAUACCGCAUAACAGUUUAUGCCGCAUGGCAUAAGAGUGAAAGGCGCUUUCGGGUGUCGCUGAUGGAUGGACCCGCGGUGCAUUAGCUAGUUGGUGAGGUAACGGCUCACCAAGGCCACGAUGCAUAGCCGACCUGAGAGGGUGAUCGGCCACACUGGGACUGAGACACGGCCCAGACUCUACGGGAGGCAGCAGUAGGGAAUCUUCGGCAAUGGACGAAAGUCUGACCGAGCAACGCCGCGUGAGUGAAGAAGGUUUUCGGAUCGUAAAACUCUGUUGUUAGAGAAGAACAAGGACGUUAGUAACUACUGAACGUCCCCUGACGGUAUCUAACCAGAAAGCCACGGCUAACUACGUGCCAGCAGCCGCGGAGGUAAUACGUAGGUGGCAAGCGUNGUCCGGAUUUAUNGGGCGUAAAGCGAGCGCAGGCGGUUUCUUCUUAAGUCUGAUGUGAAAGCCCCCGGCUCAACCGNNNAGGGUCAUNGGAAACUGGGAGANNGCUUGAGUGCAGAAGAGGAGANUGGAAUUCCAUGUGUAGCGGUGAAAUGCGUAGAUAUAUG
rnacentral:rRNA from 1 species